rnacentral:rRNA from 1 species
UGGAGUCUGCAACCCGACUCCACGAAGCUGGAUUCGCUAGUAAUCGCGCAUCAGCCACGGCGCGGUGAAUACGUUCCCGGGCCUUGUACACACCGCCCGUCAAGCCAUGGGAGCCGGGGGUACCUGAAGUGCGUAACCGCGAGGAGCGCCCUAGGGUAAAACUGGUGACUGGGGCUAAGUCGUAACAAGGUAGCCGUACCGGAAGGUGCGGCUGGAACACCUCCUUU